ensembl:lncRNA
AGGCCCCAGCACUUUCAGAGAGGCCCCAGGACCUUCAGAGAGGCCCCAGCACCUUCAGAGAGGCCCCAGCGCCUUUAGAGAGGCUCCACACCUGUGAUGCUCGCUAGAGACUCGGAUGUGGACAGCGUGUCACGAUUCCCGACAGGCGCUGCCCAGGCUCACAGCUCCAUCAGAACCAUCACGCCCUCGGGAAGACCGACUUGGAGAAGUGAUCUUUCCAAGGUGGCAGGGGGACAUGGAGCCACCCCUCCCUUCCAGGCAUGGAGCAGCCGCUGAAGCGCCUCCAGGGUGGGGCACACACAGGGUCCUCUCCUCUCACCCCAGCUUGGUUCUCCAGGAGUGGGCAUCUCCUCGGGGACGCUGGUGACGUCUGGAGGCAGUUUCGAUCAUCAGAGCCUGGGGGUCCGGGGCUCCUGCUCCCAGGACUCCUGGAGGCAGUGUGGGUGCUGCUGAGUGCUCAGAGGGGCCCACGCUCAGCACCAGAGGCCUCAGGGUGAGAAGCCCCCGGCACAGUGAAGCAUGCCCUCCCAGCCGGCGUGUCUCCCCCAGGGCAGCCCCUUCAGGCUUUCUGCUCCCCAGGGGCUGGUCCAUCCCUCCAGGAACCUUCCUGGGUCGGCGGCAGGCAUGCGGGGACAAGGCUCACCCACAGAUGCACGUCUGUGCUCACUCGCCCGCCACCCAGCCCAGAGGCAGCACCCACGACCAUUCACUAUCAACCAGUAGCCUUGGGGGUCCCCUGGUGGGCCACUCCACGCUUUCUACAACAGACAGGAUGGUGGGGCACUUCCCAUCAUGGGUGCAGCCCCCGACCUGCCCAGGGACCCUCCUUGUCUGGCCAGCAACCUCCUCACUCUUCCUUUCUGAGAAGACAAGACAUCAAUCACUCCCCAGAGCCUCCCUCGGAAAAUGAGCGAAGGACGCCGGGCUGGGCUGAGUGACAGAGGACGGCGCGGUGCUGACGUGCGACAAAGCCUCGCCAGCACCGUGACGGCAGGUCGGUGCAGCCAGCAAACUGCCCGCAAGGGCAGACUGUCUCGGCGGGAUCAACCACCCC